CCUACGGGAGGCAGCAGUGGGGAAUAUUGCACAAUGGGGGAAACCCUGAUGCAGCGACGCCGCGUGAGUGAAGAAGUAUUUCGGUAUGUAAAGCUCUAUCAGCAGGGAAGAAAACGACGUUACCUGAGUAAGAUUCCCCGUCUAACUACGUGCCAGCAGCUGCGGUAAUACGGAGGGGGCAAGCGUUAUCCGGAUUUACUGGGUGUAAAGGGAGCGUAGACGGCAGCACAAGUCUGGAGUGAAAUGCCGGGGCUUAACCCCGGAACUGCUGUGGAAACUGUGCAGCUAGAGUGCAGGAGAGGUAAGUGGAAUUCCUAGUGUAGCGGUGAAAUGCGUAGAUAUUAGGAGGAACACCAGUGGCGAAGGCGGCUUACUGGACUGUAACUGACGUUGAGGCUCGAAAGCGUGGGGAGCGAACAGGAUUAGAUACCCCUGUAGUC
rnacentral:rRNA from 1 species